rnacentral:lncRNA from 1 species
UUUGGAAUCUCAUUUAGUUUUGAAAUGAGAAUCUUUUUGAUAAACCUCAUCACAAAGUACCCACAAUUUAUACCAUUUUUUUGGCGAGGACACUACAAAAAAUAAAAUAAGUAAUUGUAGCAAUAAAACAAGAAUCAAGUUACCAUGAGCCAAGUUAGGAUUAAGCAUAUGAAUAUGAAAGGAAGUUGGUGUGGUCCAUAUAUGCUUGAAUGUGUAGUUUUCUUUUGUGGUCACAACUUCGAUGCUCCACACCUCUCACCCUUGUAUUCUUGAACUUCAAGUAAGUUCAUUGUUAAGAAGUACAUUCAAUUCAAUGAAAUGUAUUCCCUUUGCACUUGAUUAUGAAUAAAUACACUAGUCUAAAGCAUAAAACCAUGCAACGAUAUUUUCUGACACUCCAAGUCUCCAACAGCCUAUAUGCUUAAUUAAGAUUAAAAAGAACAUGUUGAAAACACCUAAUCAAAACCUUAUAUUUCACUCUCCUUGACCCAAACCUUAUAAGAAGAUUAAGAAAAGCUUGAGUAAAAGAUUACCAGCCUUUAGAAACUCAAUACAUAAGUUGACCACAAUGGGGAAGGUGGGUCUAAGAACAAUAUCCAACAAGUCACAAGUAAAAUUGAUAUCUAUAGUCCUUUGGUGUUAUUCUAAAAUUUGCUCAUAACACAAGCACAUAAAUACCACACUUACCUAUUAUAUUGUACUGAAAUGCAUAAUAUUACAAAUUCUGUGUUUUGGUUCCAUCACUUAAGCAAAAUAAAAGAAAAUCGAUUGCACAAAAAAUCUUCUUGAAGAAAUACUAGCCCCAAAGAAUUUACCUUUUUCUCAAGUCCACCUUCCUAUUCAUCAUGAUAUCAACAACAAAAUAAAAUAUGAUGUCGUGAUUGUGUUUGACCUUACCAAGCCAUUAAACUGCAUAACAUCUUUCAGUCGAGCAAUUAUAUAUCAAACCAAUAAGUAUAUUAUUUUUCAUAAACACAAACACGUAGGGACAUAAACACAAACACAUAGUGAGCAAUAUCUCAUAUUAUUUUAUGAAAACUCAUUUCUAUAUAAAAGACAUGACUCAAAUUGAAUUAUCAAAACUCCAUCGUAUACCCAAUUACAUAAACUAAACUUUAUAACAUACUCAAUCCAGUAAUCAAAAUAAAACAACCCCACAAAAGAAACUACAAACAAAACCAUUUCAUAGAGAAAUAAACAUAAACACCUAGAGAGCAAUCACCAAAAGAAAGAGAUAAAGCAUUCACCCCAUAUUAUUAUUUUUUAGUUUAAAUCUUAAAAUCCUAAAACAUCAAUAUGAAAAUAUGAAAAAAUUAAAGAAUAUUAGAGUUAAAUUGAGGUAAGGAAAGAAUGGAGAUGAUACCUGAGAUGAAGAAUUGAGUAUCGAAAAAGCUGUAACCCGUCGACGGCAGCGGCGAUACGAUGAACUGUAACUAAGACUGAGAUAGAGGUGGUGGUUUUGGAAUGAAUCGAAAGAGACAAGUGAUGGUGAAGAAUGAUUCAAUUGAUAUAAACGGUGGUUCUUGAAUGAAUUGCUUGCACACGAUCUAAUGAAAUUUUUUAGGAAAGUAGUUUUUGGGUUUUCAUACUAAUUGAUUAAAAAAGUACGUUUAAUAAAAAUUAUGUUAGUUUUCUUGAUCAAAC